GGAUGCGAUCAUAGCAGCACUAAAGCAUCGGAUCCCAUCAGAACUCCGAAGUUAAGUGUGCUUGGGCGAGAGUAGUACUAGGAUGGGUGACCUCCUGGGAAGUCCUCGUGUUGCAUUCC
rnacentral:rRNA from 2 species